rnacentral:lncRNA from 1 species
GUUAAUGUUAAAAAAUUAUCCAUUUCUAUGUUUUGAAAAUAAAAAGCUUAAGUAAAAAAUAAGGAAAAUAAAAAAAGGAUGGGGGCUUAGCACUCCCAAAUCUAAAAGUAUAAUAUAAGCAGCAGUUCUCAAAACCAUUUGCUCUUAGCUAACAGAGUGGUGGAUCAGAGGAAUAGAUUCCAGUGAUCAAGACCUAUAGUUAUGCAAUAUUUGAUAAAGCCCCAAACUCCAGCUUCUGGUAUAAAAACUCACUAUUUCAUAAUAAAUCUCAAGGAAAAGUAGAAAAUCACAUCCUAGAAACUUGGCUGCAACCCAUGGUGUGUGCAUCUCACACCCCAUGCCAAAGUAUGGUCAAAAUGGAAAAGAUCUCCACUGAAACCAGAAGUGGUUUGAGAGCCCUGCCCUGGGGCCUCUGAGAAAAAGUCUAUCUGGCAGGGGAGGCAGGCUUCCUGGGAGCAGGUGUUCCAAGAGAGGGCUGCGGGGGAGGGGUGGUCCUCAGCACCAUCAGGCUUUCCUUGGGUACAUAUUGGCCAAGCUGACAAACCGGCCUAAUGAUUGCUGCCAGCUUGUGUCCAGGGAGGACGCAGGUUGGACACAGGGAGUGGAGGCUGUUCUUUCCCGAGGGAGCAGCUUGUUGCACGUCAAAGAGAACUGGAUGCUGGCUUGCCUGUGGGAGUGGAACUUGGCCAGAGGGAGUUGAAAGCCCCCAGAGGGGGGAAAGAUGAUGUGCCCUCUCCUUAUUUAGCAUGGGGCUGUCCCUGGGAACUCUGAGAAGGUGUCAGGGAGCAUGGAGAGCAGGGCUGUCAUGCCUAAGGACGACUUUCUGUGUGGGGCCACGGCUUGCAGUCAAUCUCGAAUUUCCCCUGCACACUUCCUGGUGAAGUCCUGGCUGUCAGGAUUGCCCUUUCUUUGCAGUUCUGUCAUCCCACUUUCCCCACAGCUGGGUCUGGGGAAAUUGUGGUCCUAUGGCUACUUUGUGCACCUUCUUCAAAAUGUCUGGAGCAGCUGAAUAAUCACACACAUGUUGAGGACAGGAAUCCUAUCAAGAAAAGGGGG